CAGUAAUGAGUGUUUAUUUUUGUUCAUCAGUGAAUGAAAACGGUUAUUAUCCUGAUAUGAAUUCAGCUUAUGAUCCUGAAUUUAUAUUAUUAAAGCAGUCAAUGAUAUUAUUUCAGAGUUAUAACUGACUUAGCAAAGUCACGUUAUUUAUUUAAGCGAGAUGGAAUUAGAAUUUAUUUUUACUCAAAUCGUGAAUUAUUUCCGACUCGUGAGUUAAUUAAAUCUGCGGAUUUAAUUUAGAUAUCAGAACAACGAACGAAUUAAAUCUACGGAUUUAAUUUAAAUUCAUUUUAUAAUUUAUCGAUUUUUAGCGAGAUAUCACAUGUCGAAAUUGGGAUUUAUUUAAAUAAACAGUACAAGCAAAUAUGAGCACGCGAUCCACUUUACAGUUAUAGAAUCACCGAGACAGAGAAAAUACAUCAAUAAUUCUCCUCUACAUUUUUUUUUUUUCCUUUCUUUUUCUUCUCUUUUUCUUUCCAUUAAAUUUGUCCCCCAACUUUUCCCCACCACGCAAUUAUGCAACUAAAUCAAGCUAAUUCAAUAACUCUCCCACUUAACUCACAUCUCCCUCUAUUUGCACAACUCCAGCCAAGAAACAAAACAUUCCCUAUCAUUUUCACCGUGAGUCCUCUUCAAAGAGCAGGAAGUCUCCAUUUCGUCCAGCCAAAUUCUUAAGGUAAGCUUUGCUAUAAUCUUCCAUUUUCUUCCAUUAUCCGCCUGCAAUCAGCCUGCAAUCACUGAGACAACAACACAAAUUUAUUUCAGUUCCAGUUCAUUCACCACACCACAACCGAAAAGUGAGAGAAAUCACUCAUUCACUCCCUGUCAGAAUCAAUAAGUUCAGUCAUUCCAAUUCAUUCAACUCCAACAGCCAUCAAUCAGUUCGAUCAUAUUCAAGGUCAAGGGCGAGAUUGACAAUCUGUUGAGGAGCUUUUGUAUCACAGAAAAUCACUAUCAGGUUGAGCAGCUGCCGAUGUUGAUGAAGUGAUGAGCGGGAUUCUUUUGUCUUUUUAUGUAUUAAAGAACUCUAGGGUUACAUGUCUUCAUACAUGUAAUCAGAAUCAUAAUCCGCUGCGUACUCAGAAGUUUUAUGCUUAUUUGGCUAAGUCAGAAAUAUCUGAACUUAUUAGUUAUCUGAGUCUAUACGACUAAACUUCUGUUAUAUUAUAAAUAUUCCUUUUGUUAAAUGAUGAAAUGUGAUCCUUCUUUGUUUAAUUAUCCCCUUUCUACCCCGCUUCUA